UCAUCGUCUGCUGGUAUUUGAUUUUUCCUGGUCGCCACAUAGUAACUGUCGAAUUGAACUUUAGCUUCUAUUUUUUUUUUUUUUUUGCAGUCACUAACAUUUGAUGGGCGCGAUCAUGCUCGCUGAAAGGAUCAGUGCUGGUUGGCGCGACAAAGAUGACGCUCAACAAAAGACCAACGUUCCCAAAUGCUAUUUAGCCUAAUAACUGGCAUAUUUAUUUCGACCAAAUGCAAGUUCUCAAAACACAGUUGACAUUGCGUGAAAUCAAUCAUAUGAGCCCCUUACCUAUGCCGAGAAGGUGGAGAGCCAUUCACCCAGGUAGAGGUCCGCUUGUCAACCAGCUGGGCGUCCGUACGAAACCCGCAGCAGACUCUACCUGUUUGUACUCUGCAUCCCUCUAUUAUACUUUUCAGUUGCGUGCAAGAGAAAGGACGGGUGGCCUACCCGUCCCACCUGGCGCCGCAACAAUUGUAGCCAAUUUACUAUUGACACCUAAGUGUGUCCUUCAGGCUCUGAGAAACAACAGUCAAGAUAUCCCACAACAAUGUUCAUCUUUGGUAUGCAUGUGAACAAGAUAGUAAAACACAACUUAUAUGCGAAAAACAAGUGAGUGUAUGCAUGCGAACACGAUAGUGAAACGGUCAAGACGUCUUGACCAGAAAAACAAGUGAGUGAAAAACAGGUGAGUGAAAAACAACUUAUAUAACCAUGGUUGCACAAUACAUUCGGGUAUUCAACGGUUAUGGGAAGCAUCACUAAUUAACACUCCUUUCACCUCCCAUGAUUGGUGGGGGUGGGCGAUUGGAAAACGGAGUCGAUCUUACUGGGAUCCAUGCAAAUCUCUUCCUCGGCCAAGAUGAAGCCCAGGAACAUGACGGAAAGCAGGUGAAACUCGCAGUUCUCCAUCUUGACAUAUAGGUUGUGUCAUAGUAGUUGCUUCAGCACCUCGCUGACGUCCUCGAUGUGGGGAAACUUCGUCUGAAGAAAAGAUCAAAAUAUCGUCGAGGUGUGCUCCUCCUGAUGACUGCAAGUGUGUCGGGGACCUGGCUUUGCCAGAUCGUCUGCUGUAUCCUAUAAGUAUUGCAGGUAAUUACUGUGGAUGAGGCGCAGGUGUGCCCCUCCUGAUGACUGCAGGUGUAUCAGGGAACCUGCACAGCCAGGGCUAGGACCGGCAGGAACACGACAUCUCGAGGCUGUUUGGGUAGAUUGUGUGACGGCGUGCCCAAAAAAAAAAAAAAAGACAGACUACCAUCCUCUUCGUCGCUUGAUUCAGGUGUGGCCAAUACGUCGAGCACACGCACAUAAAGGCGCGUUCUCGCAAUCAGGCCUCCUAUUGACGACAGUCGCGGCGAUGCACGCGUGCAAUGGCACCCCCACCCGCACCUUCCAUCGGUCGAUCGGGAGAGGCUGGCUGCUUGAAAAGUAGAUCUUGGGGGGAGGAAUCUGGGCACCCCUGAGUUACAUUAAAAACAUUUCUGGGAUAUAACACAGCUGGUAUUCUAUGGGAUGAUAUCUUUGAAGAACUGCCUCGUCUAUUGUGACAACCAACAGCACAGCAGGUCUCGGGCAAUUUGAAAAAUCUGCUCCGGUUCAACGACUCCCGCACUGCCAAGCAGCAUUGUUUGACCGGCAAUAUGGCGCCGUGCAAACCGUGACAUCAUGAGCACGAGCUCUAUACGGCAACAAGGGGUGCCCAGACACUGGUGACCAGUAGGGGGAAGCUCCUUCUACUCCCACACCCGUACCCCACCCCACCCCCAUGUGACCACACGCGCCUGCCUGCCUCCCCUCCCGACCCACCUCCGCAUCAGUGCAAACAGCGGGCUGUGCCACCACUAAUAGCGGCCCACAGGGAUCGACACAUUGUGCACCCCUGACUUACGUACUUUAUUAAAUUAUUAUGACAUGGAUCUUUUGUUAUAUUCUGAGAGAAGGACUCUAUUAUGUCUUCGGAUGCGAAUGUCUGAAGUGUUCGGGUGGAUGGCUGUCAACUGAGCUUAUUUACUACUACUGAUGCUAUUGGACAAGUAAACAAGUACAUGGAUGCCACACUCUCUUCUGGCUUUCGUCUUCUGGACAUGUCCAGGACAUUUGCCGACUUCAAACAUUUGCCUAUUUGGAACAUUCGUUUGACUUUGGUGACUAUAUGUCGUUUGGCUACUUUGCUCGCUACUCAACUGUUUUUGUACUUCUAUUUUGUGUUACUUUGUUAUUGUUUUGU